rnacentral:misc_RNA from 1 species
AAAUCUCAACCUUCUUGGUUUCUUCUGGACACCAUAGUAGGCUUGGAAACUGGAGGCCUUUGCUGGCAUCUCUUUGCCAGCUCCUCUGAAAUGAAUUAGUAGGGUCCUCUUUGCUGAUCCUUGACGUGUGAUAAGAUGUUUCCAUGUCUUGGUUUCUGGCUCUGUAGCUUUUUUUUUGGGACCUGCUUCAAACUGUCUUGCACAGAGACAAUGUUUGAGUGUGUCUCCCUUGUCGGGAAACACUCUCUCACCCAUUCACCA